GUGUCAGAAUUGUUCACUUCUCUCAUUGACUUCUCAAGACCAGGCUUGGUGUGCUUCACAAGCCUUCUCUGAAGUCUCGCGUUGUUACGUCUCUGUGUUUAGAAACUGGUAGUGGGGGAACAGGAAGUUCCGCGCAGGCGCACAUCAUUCUUCAGUAUAAAGGAUACGCCAAAUUGUGCAGACGACAACUUCUAUGUCCGUUUCUAAUGUAUGUCUACUGACCGACUCAGAUAAAGUCUGAGGCCGGUAACAUCAACAGUGAAGACAAACCCAGCCUGCCACUCUCCUUCCACACUGAGUCCAAACCCACAGUCACUGGGUCCUGAUUGUGACAGUGGAGCCCAGUUUGCACUGCAGGAUCCAGAGAUGGCAUCAGUGAAGCUGGAAGACUGCAGUCAAACACUGGAGCUGAAUGUCAACAUUAAAGAUGAAGAAGAGGAGGAGAAGAUUGGGAAAUCUGUUAAUCAUGGUAUGACGCCGUUAACAUCAACAGUGACGACAAACCCAGCCUGCCUCUCUCCUUCCACACUGAGUCCAAACCUACAGUCACUGGGUCCUGAUUGUGACAGUGGAGCCCAGUUUGCACUGCAGGAUCCAGAGAUGGCAUCAGUGAAGCUGGAAGACUGCAGUCAAACACUGGAGCUGAAUGUCAACAUUAAAGAUGAAGAAGAG